GGGAGAGAGAGAAAGAAGAGAAAAACAAAGCGAAGAGAGAGAAAGGUGCUGCUGCUGUUUGCUCUGGUUAACCGUUACUGGGUCUGCCAACCUUUGGACCUCCUUUGAAGCCAAAUCGAUAAUUUGACCUACUAAGUUCAACCUUCCAUCCACAAACACAAGGAGUCAUUGGUGCCAUUAAAGUCUUUCUCUAACCCUGGCUGAAACAGCAGUUCACCAAACAUUGGCAGACCCGCAUCCAACCCUGGUGAAGAGGAGGGUCGGAUAACGAAUUUGAAAGAACUGCAUUGUGAAAGGAAGAGAAAAAAAAUCCAAGCCAUCGCUGCACAAGCGGCCAGGACAACACAGGACAGCCAUGGAACUUCCUGUGGAAAACAAACAGUGAAUGUGGGGUGCUUUAGGGUCUGAGGCUGCACCUGACUGACGGGACCGCAGGAAGUACACGCACACUGUCCCAAGGGAGCAAUGAGGAGAAAGAGGCGAAAGGCAGGAAAGCGACGCGUUGGUCCUGGGGAAUUUGUGAUGAUAGAUGGAAGCAACUUCUGCCACAAACAGAAGGUUUUGUUCUCUCAUCAUAUUGUCGGAUUUACCACCACUACUUUUAUAUUCUUAGGACUUUUGCAAGUUUGGUUUGCAAUUGCCAAACUUUUAAAACAAGACAUUUUCAUGACAUUGCCAUAAGUUGUUUUUAAAGGAGCCAACCUCUCACUGACUGGUCAGGGGCUAGUCCCCCAUGUGACCUGGAAACUGUGUUUGCUUUCAGCGAUGGUGUCUCUGGUGAAUGUGUACUUGUUCCUAGUUUUUUAUCCUGACAUUCGUUUGAUUCCUUCCAGUGUUUGGAAAUGAUCUUUUAACAGCAUGGUCAAAAGCGGCGCG